UGUAGCACAGCUUCCUGCUCCUGUGAUAGAUGAGGCAAAGCACCUGCGCCUCGCUGAACAUGUGAAAACCACACACAAAGACUCAAGAGCAUGUGCGACCCAGCUGUAGUAAGUGCCAGGCCAGAAGUUGAAUUACCCCUGAAUUUGGAUGGUGUAACAGGGGAAUAUCACUUGUGAAUAAGGAGCCUGGCCAUCCUCAGUCUCCAGUCGUGCACGCUGUCUUCUGACCACGCUGACUUUGGAAGCUGUCACACUCUUCUUCUUCAGGGAGCUCUGAGCAGAACAGAGAUGAGUCCCAAAUGCUACCUGAGGACUCUGCGGCAAAGACUGCGUGUGGAGCACAAACUCAAGCAAAUCCCUGCCCUCCCUUGGAUGAUGUCAGAGCAGGGGUGACGAGGCAUCGGAAGGAAGGCAGUGUCCUCCCGUCCUGUCAGAGUCCUAGUGAAAGGUGAUCAGCUGAAGAUGCAGCCAAGAGAAGGGAUUGAAUGGGCACCUGGGAGAGAUAAGGAACAUGUUCUGGCAUCUGAAGUUUCUUGAAGGAAUUCAUGGAUAAGAAAAGAAGUCUGGGACCACUCUGAUCCAAAACUUCUUUCAUGCCCUUCAUUGUGUCUUUGUUGGUUGGUACCAACUUGCUGGCUUUAGCUUCAGCAGACACCACACUUACCUUUUCCACAAUGCUUGUGGAAACACUAGUCACAGCCGCUGCUGCCCCCAGCCCCAAGCCAGUGGCUGACAAUGCCAGACUGACUCCUGCUGUCACAGGUGCCAGAGACAGACCAAGGAUGGUCAGGACUCCAGACACAGCACUGCUGGAGCUGGCCACCACCCGUGAGAUGGUGCAGUCCCUGUGCAC